rnacentral:rRNA from 1 species
CCUACGGGAGGCUGCAGUGAGGAAUAUUGGUCAAUGGUCGGGAGACUGAACCAGCCAAGCCGCGUGAGGGAGGAAGGUACAGAGUAUCGUAAACCUCUUUUGUCAGGGAACAAAGACUGGGACGCGUCCCCGGAUGAGUGUACCUGAAGAAAAAGCAUCGGCUAACUCCGUGCCAGCAGCCGCGGUAAUACGGAGGAGGCGAGCGUUAUCCGGAUUUAUUGGGUGUAAGGGGUGCGCAGGCGGUCUGUUAAGUCCACGGGUAAAGCCCCGGGCUCCACCCCGGCCCCGCCGUUGAAACUGGCAGUCUAGAGUUGGAGAGAGGUAUGCGGAAUGCGCGGUGUAGCGGUGAAAUGCAUAGAUAUCGCGCAGAACUCCGAUUGCGAAGGCAGCAUGCCGGCUCAACACUGACGCUGAGGCACGAAAGCGUGGGUAUCGAACAGGAUUAGAUACCCUAGUAGUC